GAGCGCCUACGGGACGCAGCAGUAGGGAAUCUUCGGCAAUGGACGAAAGUCUGAUCGAGCAACGCCGCGUGAGUGAAGAAGGUUUUCGGAUCGUAAAACUCUGUUGGUAGAGAAGAACGUUGGUGAGAGUGGAAAGCUCAUCAAGUGACGGUAACUACCCAGAAAGGGACGGCUAACUACGUGCCAGCAGCCGCGGUAAUACGUAGGUCCCGAGCGUUGUCCGGAUUUAUUGGGCGUAAAGCGAGCGCAGGGGGUUUAUUAA
rnacentral:rRNA from 1 species